CCUACGGGAGGCUGCAGUGGGGAAUAUUGGGCAAUGGGCGCAAGCCUGACCCAGCAACGCCGCGUGAAGGAAGAAGGCUUUCGGGUUGUAAACUUCUUUUCUCAGGGACGAAGAAAGUGACGGUACCUGAUGAAUAAGCCACGGCUAACUACGUGCCAGCAGCCGCGGUAAUACGUAGGUGGCAAGCGUUAUCCGGAUUUAUUGGGUGUAAGGGGCGUGUAGGCGGGAGCGCAAGUCAGAUGUGAAAACUCAGGGCUCAACCCUGAGCCUGCAUUUGAAACUGUGUUUCUUGAGUGCUGGAGAGGCAAUCGGAAUUCGGGGUGUAGCGGUGAAAUGCGUAGAUAUACGGAGGAACACCAGUGGCGAAGGCGGAUUGCUGGACAGUAACUGACGCUGAGGCGCGAAAGCGUGGGGAGCAAACAGGAUUAGAUACCCGUGUAGUC
rnacentral:rRNA from 1 species